GCCUCCUUGGUCUAGUGGUAAGACGUCUCUCUCACAAGAUCUGUUUAUAUAACAGAAUCAAGAGCAGAGAAGAUCGCGAGUUCGAUCCUCGCAGGUGGUA
rnacentral:tRNA from 1 species